UGGAGGAAUCACACGAAUGGAAGCU
rnacentral:piRNA from 1 species